GCAGCGGCACAGGUAGUGGCCAAGGACAAAGCCCUGACUCUCCAGGGGGACACACUGCGGGGAUGACAAACAUGAUAGGAGCCAUACAGGUCUCAUUUCCUAGUGCCCAGCUGUCGGAGCGAGGGACUGGGCGAGGUGGAAUUUGGGAGAACUCGGAGUCCGAUCGCACCUAUGUGCCUACAUCCUGCUUCAAAGGGUCCCCAUCAGUCUCCCUCUUUGGCUCACAGGGGACCGAGCAGACCUCAGAGCCAGGCAGGGAA